rnacentral:lncRNA from 1 species
AUGACUGGUGAGAUUUCACAGGUCGAACAAUUUAUCAGGGAGCAUGUGAAAUCUUAACAACUUGGGUAAAAAUCAUAUCUUAGGCUUAUUUUCUUGACCUUUAGCUUUGAAAAGUUACCUUUAGCUUUGAAAAGUUAUGUAUUUAUCUACAUAUUCCCUUAUCCUCGAUUUGUGGUUUUACACUGAAAAUGGUUUUUGGCUGAUUUUACUUCCCAACUUUGGUUGUAACAAGAACUUGUUGAGAUUGAUCUACUGAGCAAUCAAACGUUGCAUUCUCUUUCUCUCUCUUACCUGCUUUUUUAAUGUCCCAG